UACGUAGGUGGCAAGCGUUGUCCGGAUUUAUUGGGUUUAAAGGGUGCGUAGGUGGUCUAUUAAGUCAGUGCUGAAAUAUCCCAGCUUAACUGGGAGGGUGGCAUUGAUACUGAUGGACUUGAGUAAAGUUGAGGUGGGCGGAAUUGACGGUGUAGCGGUGAAAUGCUUAGAUAUCGUCAAGAACACCUAUUGCGAAGGCAGCUCACUAAGCUUUAACUGACACUGAGGCACGAAAGUGUGGGGAUCAAACAGG
rnacentral:rRNA from 1 species